AUCAAUAAUCAGGGUGAUGUGUGACGUAACUCGACAGUCUAUCAGCGCGAAACAUUUUGACAGACCGAAUCGGAAUGAAUCCACUACUGCACUUUUUUUCUUAGAGGAGCAUUGAUGUUGAUAUUAAUUGAGCAGUUAUUUAAUGACGAGUGUGUGAAGAGAGAUUCCAAGUGGUUUUUGUUGGUGAAUAUGGGCAUGGCUAGACUUUCGUUUUCCACGCGUGCAAGGACUCGAGUCUCAUGGAUAUUGAAGGCACUUAUUUCACUUGAGACACGGGCAGUAGACGUUGACAGAGUGAAUGUGAAGGUAUGCCUAGAAGUAAUAGAACGUGUGGGCUGGGUUUCUGUGAACUGGCAUAAUGCACCGGAUGACAUAGGUGUAUAUCAGAAAUUUGUGACUGUUGUUCAGUGUGCGGUAAUUGUUCAAGGAAUGUGUAUUUUUGUGUCCGGUCACAUACACCUGGAGAUUAUCAGGGACAUUACCAUCUGUCAUUUUUGUACAAGAGCUUUGCAGACGCUAGUGUUCGUCAAUCGAGGCGAGCAUCCAACGGAACCUCAAUCUAUUGGAGCAUAAAACCCGCCAGUCCGUGCUCUCAGUAGGAACUGAGCUGUCCAGCAAGUAGGACGCAUUUGAUAGAGCACGCUUCAACCAGAAUGUUGCCAUCAACUAUAGAAUAACUUUAUUGUAGACACUUUGGCAUUGUAAAUGUUGCCCGUGCUUGUUCUGAGGUGCUACCUUGCAGUGUGUACCAAGUACACGUGUACCAAGUAACCACAGUAUCGAAACCAAACACUGGGGAGCAUCGACAUGUGUGAUAUCCACGUAUGGCAGCAGUCAUCAGUGAAGUGGAUCCGUGUUUAAGCCAGAAACACUUUGAGGAACUUUACGCUCAACGCCAUAAAACCGGGACCAGAAACUUAAAUAUUUGUAUACCAAAUAAAUAUGUAAAUUGU